CGUUGGUUGCGGUGCGGGGAGAGGAGGUGGCGGGGAUGGUGCCACGCUAACCUGGGCCGUGGGAGGAAACGUAACUGCGGGAAAGUUAGCCGGGAUAUCGCUUGGCUGGCCCAUGCCCGCCCUCGCCACUCCUUCCCCUGCUCCCCGAGCCCGGGAGGGUGCAGCCUUGCGUAAGGGGAGGGAACGCCAGUGUGGAAGCCGGCGUGCGCGGGGCGCCAGGGUAGGACCGAGUGCAGAGGGCGGUGUUCCUGGCAGCUUUCCCAGCUAGGGUGCUCGGACUCAGUUCCUGGCACGUUUGCCUCGCGGUAGUCACGAAGGGAUCGAAGAGAGAGCCCCAGUGCUCGAGGAUUUUCCCUUCCUGUGAGCCGCUUGAUGCCAGUGCAGGAUUCAUUCUUUCGCAGAAUAACUUCAGAACUCGGUCUGCACUAGGCAUAAACUCUAGCCCUGUCCGCAAGAUAUCCCAGCAGAGGUGCCAGACAUGGGAGUGAAGAAGCCACCUUGGACAUCCAUCCUGGUUGAUCCUUCAAUGAUUCCAUCUCCAAGCACCAUUUCAGUGCACCCACAGAAGACCCAAGUAAGAGUUGUCCAGCUGAGCCCAGUCAACCCACAGAUCUGUGAGAGAUGUUAUGUUAGGCCUCUUAAGUUUUGAGGCUAAUUUUUAUGGAAAGAUUCUCUUUCCCAGAGCUUUAGAAUUUGGAACAAGACUUUCACUGCCUGGGAAUUGGUGGCUGAUGACAGCCCCUGAAGGAGUUCACAAACUCCUGAUGAAGUGAUGACUUUCCAGGCCACCUUACUGCCUCUUGCCUUCUCUUGAGAUCCAGUUGUCCAGCUCUUCCUUAAAUGCCAUGAGGAACCCCAGUAUCUUUCCAGUGUUCCAUUCUUGGCCUCAGCUGAAAAUUUUAAAUACAUCCUAGUUGUCUAAUUUUAGAUAAGAAAUUUUGAGAGACUAAGUUCUGCUGUACGUAAUUAAGUCUAGGUGUGGCAUAGAGUAGGCACUCAACUGUUGAGUGACCACAUGAAUACAUGUCUAUGCAGAACUGUUCCCACCCCUCAGGAAAAACCUGCCUAUCAGGCCAUUGUUUCUCUUCAUGAAAGGUAGUCCCAAAAGAAAAUUAACACAGCCAGGUCCCAAAGAACGACGCCUUUUUAUUACAUUAUUAGUAAGCCCACAGCAUCAUAACAGCAACGUGAACUAGGAAUGGUAAAUAAGUGACUAAGAGGAUGCAAGACCCAGUCAGCUAUGCCAAGGUGGAGUCUCAGGAAAGCAAGACUGGCUAUUUCUGAAGUGGUAAUAUAGUCAUCUGUAUUAACUUGCCUGAAGAUGUUUUAAGACAAUGUAUCUAAAAAUGUUAACAGAAAGUAGGUGAAAUCUGAAGGCCAAAGAACAAGAUCUGGGCAG